AACGAACGCUGGCGGCAGGCCUAACACUUGCAAGUCGAGCGCACCUUCGGGUGAGCGGCGGACGGGUGAGUAACGCGUGGGAAUAUGCCCAAAGGUACGGAAUAGCCUCGGGAAACUGAGAGUAAUACCGUAUGUGCCCUUCGGGGGAAAGAUUUAUCGCCUUUGGAUUAGCCCGCGUUGGAUUAGGUAGUUGGUGGGGUAAUGGCCUACCAAGCCGACGAUCCAUAGCUGGUUUGAGAGAAUGAUCAGCCACACUGGGACUGAGACACGGCCCAGACUCCUACGGGAGGCAGCAGUGGGGAAUCUUGGACAAUGGGGGAAACCCUGAUCCAGCCAUGCCGCGUGAGCGAUGAAGGCCUUAGGGUUGUAAAGCUCUUUCGCUGGGGAAGAUAAUGACAGUACCUGGUAAAGAAACCCCGGCUAACUCCGUGCCAGCAGCCGCGGUAAUACGGAGGGGGUUAGCGUUGUUCGGAAUUACUGGGCGUAAAGCGCGCGUAGGCGGAUCAGAAAGUUGGGGGUGAAAUCCCAGGGCUCAACCCUGGAACUGCCUCCAAAACU
rnacentral:rRNA from 1 species